rnacentral:rRNA from 1 species
AUUGAACGCUGGCGGCAGGCCUAACACAUGCAAGUCGAGCGGAUGAAGGGAGCUUGCUCCUGGAUUCAGCGGCGGACGGGUGAGUAAUGCCUAUGAAUCUGCCUGGUAGUGGGGGAUAACGUCCUGAAACGGGCGCUAAUACCGCAUACGUCCUGAGGGAGAAAGUGGGGGAGCUUCGGACCUCACGCUAUCAGAUGAGCCUAGGUCGGAUUAGCUAGUUGGUGGGGUAAAGGCCUACCAAGCCGACGAUCCGUAACUGGUCUGAGAGGAUGAUCAGUCACACUGGAACUGAGACACGGUCCAGACUACUACGGGAGGCAGCAGUGGGGAAUAUUGGACAAUGGGCGAAAGCCUGAUCCAGCCAUGCCGCGUGUGUGAAGAAGGUCUUCGGAUUGUAAAGCACUUUAAGUUGGGAGGAAGGGCAGUAAGUUAAUACCUUGCUGUUUUGACGUUACCAACAGAAUAAGCACCGGCUAACUUCGUG